rnacentral:lncRNA from 1 species
GAGUUCCGACCGGGCAGUAACCGCAGCCAGGAGAAUGGGCUCUCGUGGAUACUUGGGAGGCUUAGUAGUCAGCUUGGAAGUACUGCCUAAGUGUGCUGUCAUGUCCCUCCUAUCCUACGAUGGGAGAGCUGACCUAAGGAAAUGUAGCUCUCUCAGCCUUGGGACUCGUCCCUACUCCUAGUUUUCACCCUCCGGAAAGAUUGAGAACGACUUAGAAUCUUUUGGCCCUCGGAAGGGGCUUCUUUCUGUUUCAGCUUGUUUGCUUUAUGGAAUUUGAAUGGAGUUCCCGUCGUGGCACAGUGGUUAACGAAUCCGACUAGGAACCAUGAGGUUGUGGGUUCUAUCCCUCACCUUGCUCAGUGGUUUAAGGAUCCGGCGUUGCCGUGAGCUGUGAUGUAGGCCGCGUCUGCGGCUCGGAUCCCGCGUGGCUGUGGCUGUGGCGUAGACCGGCGGCUACAGCUCUGAUUCAACCCCUAGCCUGGGAGCCUCCAUAUGCCGCAGGAAGCGGCCCUAGAAACGGCAAAAAGACUGAUCAGGGGGUCCAACUCGACGCUUUCAGCGCACACAAAUUGUCUUCUUUGGUGCUACUGGAAGGACCCUCCUUGGAGACCUCGCAGGGAUUCUUAACCGAGGCUGCACGCCAGAAUCACCUGAAGAGCUUUGACAUAUUGAUGCCUGGGGCCCACUCUGAGGAAUGAGUUUGAAGCGAUCUGCAGGCGAUCCUAAUGUGCAGCUAAAACUUAAGAAUCAGUGAUCUAUAGCCUCAGGGAAGAUUUGAGAUUACACAGAGAAUGUGAUAAAUACUUUUCCGGAACAAGUCAACACUUGCACUCAAAAAAACCUAAAUUGCCUCCCACAGACAAGGUGCUGUUACAGCACAAAUAAGACAGUUACUGCCCCAAGGAAAAUCAUGGUCCAGGGGAAAAGUCAGAAUGUGACAUCUUUGCAACACAAAUGAACAAGACAGAAGCUGCAUGGCCUUAUAUGAUCUAGCAUUGAGAAUCAGUUGUGUCACUUUUGCUGUGUCACUCACUGUUGAAGCAGUCACAAGUUUGCCCAGAUUCAAGGGGAGGGCAUUAUAGCUCACCUCUCAAAGGGAUGGCAUGUCAAAGAAUAAGUAGCCUUAAAAAAAAAAAUCCUGCCAUAUAGGAUUUUAUUCUUCUUUCAUGGGUGUUUCUCUCCAAACAGGUGGAGGCAGGAGUGGAGUAUAGCUUUGCAAUGUUCUCUUUCAAAGGACAGUUUUGCUGUGCUUUGCUGCUGUUCUGCUUGCCUGUGUUGCCUAUGCUGCUGCCUUCUGAACUGCUGCAGGUUGCUUCUACCAUCAAUCCCUGCUCCUCCCAGGCCCCCUCUUGCAGUUCUAAGACCCCUCUUCUUGGACACCCCUUGACCUUAUUUCUCUGAGCAUUUCUUCUCUUUGCUGGUACUCUUUACCCAGAUUUACAUCUCUCCACACUCUUUUUCAAAAGAAAGUGUCAUUCUUUUAUACCAUAUGGCCUUUUUAAGAGAUGUUAUCUUAGGGCGUUCCCUUGUGGCACAGUGGGUUAAAGACCCAGCAUUGUCAUUGCAACAGCUUGGGUCCCUACUGUGACUUGGGUUCAGUCUCUAGCCAGGAAACUUCCACAUGCCUCAUGGGGGGGGGGGGGGAAGGUGUUAUCAUAGCAGAAGAGCAUAGCCCUUUAGAGAUGUGUUUUCAGUUUUACUACUCAGUCUGUGGGGAAAGGAUGGUUUGUCUCCUAGCAAAGGGAUUUGGCUACUUAGUAGUAAUAUUCUUUAUUUUUUACUACAAGUUCUGUUUUCCUGAGGGGCAUGCAUAUCACCAGAAGCUGGGUGGAUGGGGUGGAAGAGAAAUAUUCAGGUACAGUUUUACACUAUACCUGAAAAGCAUUACUUCUUCUGAUGCCUAGGUUUGAUUCCACCUCAGAUUAGCAAUUUACUGCUGUGCUUUUGUUUCUUUUUCUCAAAAUGGACACCAUUGGGUCAUCUUUAGUCCACCCUAAAUGACUGUAUAUGCCUGAACCCUAAUUGUGAACAGUUUCCUGUUUUUACUGUGGGGAUCCUUACCCAGGUAAGUCAAAGGGUGGAGAUGGUGGUGCUCUAACAUCCUAGAUUAGUUAAGGAAAAUCUGUCUGCCAGAGUACACAGAGGACCUGAAAUAAUCUCUGUACUUCAGUCCUGCCUUACAAAAGCACCAGCCAUCUGUCACGUUUUUGUUUCUUCUAAUUACUUCCUAAAAUUCCUUGAGUUCCUUAAAGUAAGCCAUCUCUUUCAGGCUAAUCUGGAUUAGAGAUAUGCUCUUGUUAUUUGCUUUUCCUCUGGAUAAACUGCAAUUAAUACUGUUCGUUAAAAUCUGCUAUCUCCCAUUAUCUUUUCUCUCCAUUUUCUGUGAUAAUAGAAUCUUAGCCAGACACAAGAAUAAAGACUACAUUUC